rnacentral:rRNA from 1 species
AACGAACGCUGGCAGCAUGCCUAACACAUGCAAGUCGAACGAGACCUUCGGGUCUAGUGGCGCACGGGUGCGUAACGCGUGGGAACCUGCCCUUAGGUUCGGAAUAACUCCCCGAAAGAGGUGCUAAUACCGGAUAAUGUCUUCGGACCAAAGAUUUAUCGCCUUUGGAUGGGCCCGCGUUGGAUUAGCUAGUUGGUAGGGUAAAAGCCUACCAAGGCGACGAUCCAUAGCUGGUCUGAGAGGAUGAUCAGCCACACUGGGACUGAGACACGGCCCAGACUCCUACGGGAGGCAGCAGUGGGGAAUAUUGGACAAUGGGCGAAAGCCUGAUCCAGCAAUGCCGCGUGAGUGAUGAAGGCCUUAGGGUUGUAAAGCUCUUUUACCCGGGAUGAUAAUGACAGUACCGGGAGAAUAAGCUCCGGCUAACUCCGUG